GCUAGUAAUGGCAGGUCAGCAUACUGCCGUGAAUACGUUCCCGGGCCUUGUACACACCGCCCGUCACACCAUGAGAGUUGGGAAUACCCGAAGCCUGUGAGCUAACUUAUAGAGGCAGCAGUCGAAGGUAGAAUCAAUGAUUGGGGUGAAGUCGUAACAAGGUAGC
rnacentral:rRNA from 1 species